rnacentral:rRNA from 1 species
CAAAGAAGCAACGGCCCCAGCGGUCCAGCACCCUGUGCUCCCUUUUCCCACCGCCACUUCCCCUUCCUCCGCGGGCACAGCAGCCAUGGCCGCCUCCAGCGACCUCCUCGACGUCGACCCGCCCGAGCUCCAGUUCCCCUUCGAGCUCGACAAGCAGAUCUCCUGCCCCCUCAAGAUGAUCAACAAGACCGACAGAACCGUCGCCUUCAAGGUUAAGACGACGACCCCCAAGAAGUACUGCGUGCGCCCCAACAAUGGCGUCGUGCGGCCGCGGUCCACCUGCGAAGUUGUAGUGACGAUGCAAGCCCAGACUGUUGCACCACCAGACUUGCAGUGCAAGGACAAAUUCUUGGUGCAAAGCGUGGUCGUCGCCGAUCGCUUAUCGGCCAAGGACAUCACCCCUCAAAUGUUCAUGAAACAAGGGGGUAACGCUGUUGAGGAGGUGAGGAUGAGGGUCACUUAUGUGAUGCCAACCGAAUCGUCGUUAGAGAUUGCGGAGGAAAGCGAUGGGCCACAGCGUAUCUUGGUGCCUAUGCAGCGAAUUGCGGAUCAUGGGAGGAGCGCCUCAGAGCUGUCGAGUGGCUCGGUAUCCUUGAGAUCAGCUGAGCUGGGGACAGAGGUGGGAUCACCUACUGGACCAGUUGUAAGGACUGAAGAAUUACUGAGGGCUGCAGGACAUGCUGCUGAAACAAGAACAUAUACAGGGCCUGAUGCACAGUCCCUUGAGCUGUCGGCUUUGAUUACAAAAUUGACCAAGGAAAAGGAUUCUGCCCUUGAGCAAAAUAAAAAGCUUCACAGUGAGUUGGAGCUAGUAAGGCGUGAUGCCAGUAAACAAGGAGGAUUCUCGCUGAUAUUUGUACUGGUGUGUGGGCUGCUUAGCAUCAUUCUGGGCUAUCUUGUAAAGAAAUGAGGGCUUCAGUUUCAUGUUCAGUCUAAUGAUUUAAUUCCUACAGUAAAUAAAAGGUAACAUCUCGUGGUGUUCGUCGUCGGCCAGCUACCAAGGUUACAGGGAACAGUAUUUUUAUUUCCCCUUUUUGAAACUUCAGAUCAAACCAAGCUUGACGAAGUUUGCAAAUGUCCAAUUGAUGGGGCAUGUCCUGUGGAGUGGCAUCUAAUUUGAUCCAUAAUGUAUUGUAACUAUUGAUAUUAACUAAUUGCCCUUGAUUGUAUGAAUUGUUUAUUGUCAGCUUCAGUGUGGAUGUACCAAACAGUACCUGUCCAAAUCUAAAUAUACGUUUGCUUGAUUUUUCUUUUUGAAAUAAAC